rnacentral:lncRNA from 1 species
CCGUGACGUGCUUGAACUGGAUGUGCUUGUAGGCCUUUGGUCGCGCGUGCCACGCGGCAUUGUGCUUGACGACGACGCCCUCGACCACGGUGCCGCCGAGACACGACUCGAUCUGGCCGGCCUCGAUCUGCUCCACGGUUUCGAGCACCUUGGGCGUGGGGUCCAGCGCCAAAGGGUCGGCGUUGGCGUACAACACUUGUACGCACGCCAGACCGAGGCGCGCACACUCGGCCUCCAUGGCAGGCCGAUCCAGGUGGCGCUCGCCGUCAUAGAUCCCGUAGCAGAUCCAAAACUUGAGCGGUGUGCCCAGGUAGGCCACAACAUUGUGUCGCCGCUUGCACACUGCCUCGCCGUGGUAGGUGUAGGCCGGGUCAAGUUGCGCGGCAAGGCGCAGGAUGGCCUGCGCGGCGUUGGCAUAGCACACCCGGUCGAGGGCGACGUCGACCGGUACGACCUUGGACCGGUUGCGAAACUCGACCGUGUCGCCCUGGCGCUGAAAGGACAACUGGCUGCCGUCAAUCUUUUCCUCGAUGAACCACUGAUAGUUGCGCGUGCCUGUGGGAUCGGCCUGGCCCCAUUGGGGCGAGGGCUUUGUGGUGUUUAGAUGGGCAAUGGACGGGUGGAACAUGAUGUAUGCUCUGGCUGCG